CCUUCCUUCCUUCCUUCCUUUCUUCCUUCCUUCCUUCCUUCCUUCCGCCGCGCUUCUCCCUCGUCUCCUCCCUCCAUUCACACAUACGACGCACAUUUCCCAGCCCUCCCUCCCGCCCCACCCCUUCCACUUUCCCCACUCCACGAUCAAACCUGGGAUCGCGCGAGGGACGCGGAGGGAGCUCGGGCUGGCUCUCGCUGUCGCUCGGCGGCUACUUGCCUCGCAAAUCUCGCCUCGCCUCCACCACACACACGCCCCCACCCUCCGCCCCGCUGCCGGCCGCCCCCUUUCGGGCCCUUUCAAGAGCGGAGAAGAGAAAGAGGAGGAGAUCAGAAUUGAAAAGGAGGCGGAGGGAGAGAAGGGCUGUUCCCCGCCCGCGCUCGGCUCGCCCACCGCUUUCUCCCGGCUUCCAGGAUUCCUUCAAGACCAGCCGAGCCCCGGCGCUUUCGGACUCCGGAUCUCGGGAGCUCCCCUCGCCGACGGCUUGACGCAGUGACGGUGGCCGGAGGGAGAGGCGGAGGCGCUCGCUCGCUCUUUCCAGGCCGCCCAAGGAUUUCUCGUCUGGGUGUGGGUGCGAGCGAGCGGGCGGGCGGGCGAGCCGGCGAGAGGCUGCUGCUGCCUGCCUGCCUGGCCGGGAGAAGAAGCUGCCGCUGGGGGAGGGGCAGGAGGGGGCAGAGGUAGCGGCGCGCAAGAGAGAGAGAGAGAGAGAGGCGGAGAAGCGGCGGCGGCGACAAGACAAGGAGGAGACGCAGACUGGGGCUGCCCCCCUCCGGAUUCCUCGAGACGCCCCUCCUCGUCUUUUGAGGUCGGAGGCAGUUCAAGGUUGGCCUUGCUGACUGGUCCUUCCAGGUGUUUUUUUUUUGCAAUUGGGGUCCAUUGGGUUUGCCGGCGAAGCCCCGAUCAUGAGAAAGCAAAGUCCAUGACCGCCAGCAGAGAACGUCAACUCCGUGGCUGUUUUUGGAGGCCCACCAUCAAGACCGUGGUUCCAUCAGCAAGGUCAACCUUGUGAUUCCCCAUCUCUGGAGGGACAGAGACCUGGAGAGAAAGGAUGGAGAAGGAACCCAACACUCAAAUGAAGACCAGUGACAAAAAGAACGGCAGAAGAAGCAAUGCAGAGAAAGAGAGCAAAACUCAUGUCUGAACCAGGGGCCUCUUCAUUCCAGGUCCCUUCGUGUUCUGAGUGACUUCCAAACCCUUCUUAGAUGAUGGUUAGGCAGUCAACUCCCCAGCCGCAGAGCCUUUGCUGAUGGCCCGUGGGAAACCUUGACCCUGGUGUAACCAACACGUCCUUGUGUUCC